rnacentral:misc_RNA from 1 species
GGAAGUAAAGGUCGUAACAAGGUCUCCGUUGGUGAACCAGCGGAGGGAUCAUUACCGAGUUUACAACUCUCAAACCCAAUGUGAACCAUACCAAACUGUUGCCUCGGCGGGGUCACGCCCCGGGUGCGUCGCAGCCCCGGAACCAGGCGCCCGCCGGAGGGACCAACCAAACUCUUUCUGUAGUCCCCUCGCGGACGUUAUUUUUACAGCUCUGAGUAAAAAUUCAAAAUGAAUCAAAACUUUCAACAACGGAUCUCUUGGUUCUG